rnacentral:lncRNA from 1 species
UCGUUAUAUCUUAGGAGAUGAUUGUCGGAAGACCGUUAGCACCGAUGCAAGGUAGAUUCAUCUUAUGGAAAGAAUGUCAAACAACUUGCUUCGGCAAAAAAUCCAUCACUUGCAUAUUUUUUUCUUCAUUUUCUAAUUUCUGUUAGUUAUGGAUUGAUUUCAGAAACUGAUUAACAUUAUUUACAUAUUUGUUCUGUGAGGUUUGAUUCAAAGAAUUACUAGCUUUUGUUCAAGAGUCGAAAGAGAUGAAUAAAGAUUCAUGCUUGGAUUUG